rnacentral:lncRNA from 1 species
GGCGCAUCAAUAAAAAGUUCCAGGAUAUCAGCGCUAGGGUUGGGGUCUGAUACAUUAUGUAUUGUGGGCCCAACACAAUCCUGAGCAAUGAUGGACUCUGAAGCCUCAGGAUCCUAUCACAGGACUGUCCAGUAAGGUUCAGAAAAGAGCGGGGCAUGGUGGUGCACACCUGUGAUCCCAGCACUCUGAGAGGCUGAGACAGGAGGAUCACAAAUUUGAGAUUAGUCUGCCCUACAAGGUGAGUUCAAGGCCAGACUAUCUUUAAAAAAACAAAAACAAACUUUCAAGUCUCAAGGACUAGCUUACACUGUUGGAGAAAAAGGCAAUAAAAUAAAUAGGUAAGUCUGGUGGUGACACAUGCUGCCGAGGAAAAAGACUCGGCAGACACUGAACUGUUACCUUUACAGGGCGAUGGCUACUGCGCGCUGACAGUGUGACCUGACCAGGGUGAGGGAGCCACACAGACGCACAGCAGAGAAGCUGCACAGGCUGUGUUUGUGGGAGAAGGAAGGAAAGGGAGGGCCCGAUAGGAGACCUGACUGCCCAGGGCCUGAGGUCACAGUUAGGACAAGGGAUUCACUUUGUGAGUUAUUCGACCGGCAGCUGUGGUGGAGAGCAGAGGAGUUCUGGGGUGGCCGGCAGACCAGAUAGGAAGACAGGGGCACAGCCCGGGAGUCGGCACCAGCCGGGUCACAAAGCACAGCAAAGGUUUAUCAAGAGGAAAAGAAGCCAGAAUUUUGGAACACAGAAAUUUUCAUCAUGCUGCUGGAUCCGUCCUUCUGCUUCUGCCUCUACAAACCAAAGCGCGUCUGGUCUCCUGUGUCACGCUCAGAGACGCCACCACUCAGUGCUGUGUGAACCUCCAAGCUCACGCUCACACCUCAGCUGGUUCGGAAUUCCGCUGCUCUUGCUGCUGGCUUGUGAAUAAAGCUUUCCGGAGCCGACAAAAGAGAAUGCCAGAGGGUUUGAUUCAUAGUCAAUUAUCUUCAAAUAUUUUCAUCUCCUCUUUACACUGGAUGUCUCUGGAUGCUGGCUGCAUUUAUAAAUCAAGGUUCUGUUUAUAUUUACUUUACUAUUGUACUAUGUAAAUAACAUUCUGUAAACUAUUCUAUCUUGAUUAAAGCCAUUAGUCCCCAUUAAAAAAUAAAAUUGAGUUGAAUGUCCUAUUAAGUUUGAAUUUCUCUUUCCCACAAUGUGUGUCAGCUACUACUUCCAGUCUCUGGCGCGUCUACUGAGAGCAUAAAAGUUCGCCUGGAACUAACAAAUUACUUCCCUUCCAACACAAUUAUAUAAUCUGAAAGCCCAACGGUGCCCUAGAGAUUAUUCUGUGCUCCAAAUCCCUCCCAAUUAAAGGACCCCAUUUAAACUGCUUUGAGCAGGGAGGGGUUUUUAAUACCACGUAACAGAAUGCUGCAUCCACAGUAGGCUCUUUACUUCAAACACACUUAUCCAACUGAAUUGAAUGAGUCUAAAAUGGGCCCACUUCAUUAAUCUUGUUCUUCCCAGGCUUUAGCUGUAACUCCCAGUGAAUCUGUAAUGAAUGAUUUACAUGAUUCUUCUGCUCAUUAGCCAAUGUCCAAAAAGAAACUCACUAAAGGAAACACCAUAAUUAAGCAAAUGUUUUAAUCCAUUUCAAAA